UUUUUUUCUUUCUUUUCGGUUUUCCAACCAUCGUAUUUUUUUUACUUUAAUUCGGGAGGCAGGUGGCGAGAAAAGCACCCAAAAAAAAAAAGAGGAAAAUCA
rnacentral:ribozyme from 12 species